GAUAAGAUGGCUGAGGUAAAAGUGGUAAAUUGUAAAUUUAUUAAGAAGAAUUUUCUUUCUUAUCA
rnacentral:tRNA from 1 species